rnacentral:misc_RNA from 1 species
GAUGAAGAACGUAGCGAAAUGCGAUAAGUAAUGCGAAUUGCAGAAUUCAGUGAGUCAUCGAAUCUUUGAACGCACAUUGCGCCCGCCAGUAUUCUGGCGGGCAUGCCUGUUCGAGCGUCAUUUCAACCCUCAGGCCCCCAGUGCCUGGUGUUGGGGAUCGGCCCAGCCUUCCUGUAAGGCCGCCGGCCCCGAAAUCUAGUGGCGGUCUCGCUGUAGUCCUCCUCUGCGUAGUAGCACAACCUCGCAGUUGGAACGCGGCGGUGGCCAUGCCGUUAAACACCCCACUUCUGAAAGUUGACCUCGGAUCAGGUAGGAAUACCCGCUGAACUUAAGCAUAUCAAUAAGCGGAGGA